GGCCCCUUAGCUCAACUGGAUAGAGCACGGUCCUUCUAAGUCCGGGGUUGCAGGUUCGAGUCCUGCAGGGGUCG
rnacentral:tRNA from 1 species